CAAUAAUACAUUUUCGGCCAUUGUCGAAGCGUUUGUUCGGUGCUAUUAAAUAAGAUUAAUGAAAGAGAAUCAAAACAAAGAGAUGACAGGAAGAAAUAAACAGAUGAAAAAAUUAAGUCGAUUGGAUAAAAGAAGAAAUAAUGAUGAUAGAUUUCCAUACAAAAGUAAAUCGGAUGAUGAU